GGUCUGAUCGUAUAACGGUUAGUACACAAGAUUCUGAGCACAACGCCGCGACCAUGUCUGGUGUCCCUCACAGGAUUCCAGCGGGACCCGCACUCGUUCUUGUAAUCUGGGUUCGAUUCCCAGUCGGACCU